UUGGAAAAAAGCAUCUGCCCAAUAUUUAAACAUAAAACAUAAACACCUGAAAGUUUUUAUAUCAGCUAAAACCACCAAUCUGUUUCACUGGAUUCAGAAUAAAACCAAAUUCUGUCUUACCCAACAAUGUUAGGCCUAUUUGAAUAUUGUUACUUGAAUGACUUAUUCAUGGUUACAACUAUACUGUUAAGAAAGUAUUGUCUUAUACUUGCCUAAAAUGAGAAUGCAUCAUAAAUUAUACAAAUCUGCUGAUGGAAUGUUUAUUUUUGGAUGGAUGGAAUGGACUGGAGUUUGCAGGUGGGAAUUAAAACAGGAAAAUGAUCAUACCAGAAAGAGUGAAAUUCAAAAUACAACAAAAAGCAGCCAGGGUAAAUUCAGACUGACCAAUGUAGUUUAUGCAAGGCAAUGUGAAUUUAAAAAAUAUCAAGGAUCAUACUCUGAUCAUGGCGAAAACCAUAGCACAAAAGCACCAUGCGAUUUUGUUCAUUCAAAGCAGUAAUUGAAUUUUCCAUCACAACCAUCGGUAAUGUUGUGUUUCCCCUAGAUUUCUUUGGAGCAUUGGUAAAAUGUACAGGGUCAUCGGACAGAGUCAAGGUAUCUGCUGAGACCAGAUCAUUGUGCAAAUGUGCCUUGAACUUGGCAGAAACAUUUUUUUCUGCGCAAAUGCAUAUAGGAGAAACACUGUAAUAACCCGUUCUUGUAGACAAUGGAACAAUAACUUGGAACACAUAGAAAAAUGUAACAUGCACAACACUAAAAUACCUACAUGUACUUGGUUUCAUACCAUUUAGAAACAUGUAGGACCUGAAACACACUGAACACAAGAUAAUUCCAACAGAAACCAAACUAAAGCAGUUAGGAGCAACUUCAAAAUAACAUUAUUUUAACACAUUCAAAAUACAAAAAAAAAAAGCAGCCAGGGUUAGGGUUAAAACCCCUGAAAGAGGACUGUUUUGCAUAGCUUCUUUCUUGUGCUUCCUUUCUGAAGUUCAAGAGGCGAGUUUGGCAAUGUGGUGCAGCCUUAGCUUAUGAAACAGAAACAACCAAUGAUAACGAGUCCAAAUGGUGGUUGUCAAUGCCAAACUGUGUCUACUCAAUGUUUUCCCCAAGCAGAAAUACAUCCUCUGUUCCAAUCUCCCCUCGGACGAUGUGUAGGACUGUCAACACCUUAGGAGCUUGAGCUUGCAUUGUUGAAGCUUGGCGGAUCACCCUCUCUGCAGCUCUCAGCACCUUAUAACAAUAAUAAUACAUUAUAUUUAUAUAGUGCUUUACACAGUGCUCAAAGACACUUUACAGAACAGAGAAAAUAAGAAAAAAGCAACUUUAAUAUUUUAAAAAAACAAGAUAAUAAAAUCAAACCUUCAGUGUGCCUAGUGAUGGAAUCACUAGGCCGCUGUUGCUUUUCAGGGUCAGAAGGUGGAAGUUCUUGUCAAAUGAAGAUGGCACGGCAUCUCUGACCAAGCUCCAACGGUGUGUACUCAUGGCCCUGCUUUGCCACGAAGUCCAUCUUAAGAUCUGAAAUGAUGCAAGCUUCUCACUGAGCUCUUCAUUAAUGAGGUUCUUUUCCCUCAAAUCCUCCAAAAGACCCUUCACUGUGGUCUUUGCCCUCUUUUCUCUGGACAUGGCAUUCUUCUUUUCUCGCUCCAGACUUUCCACUCUUGCCAAAUGUUCAUUGACUUUGGCCUUAACAGCGGAAGGAGUAGCAGGCAAGGCAUAGCCAUG
ensembl:lncRNA